UACAAUUUAACAAGCAUCACUCAUAUAAUCGCGGGGAUAAGGCCCGCAAGUUUCUACCAAGCUACCGUAAAUAGCUUGACUAUGGGUGAGCAGUGAGAAGUU
rnacentral:ncRNA from 2 species